rnacentral:rRNA from 1 species
UGCGAAGGGGGCUAGCGUUGCUCGGAAUUACUGGGCGUAAAGCGCACGUAGGCGGGUUGUUAAGUCGGGUGUGAAAGCCCUGGGCUCAACCCAGGAAGUGCACUCGAAACUGUCAGGCUUGAAUAUGGAAGAGGGUCGCGGAAUUCCCGGUGUAGAGGUGAAAUUCGUAGAUAUCGGGAGGAACACCAGUGGCGAAGGCGGCGACCUGGGCCAAUAUUGACGCUGAGGUGCGAAAGCGUGGGGAGCAAACAGG